rnacentral:rRNA from 1 species
CCCUUGUACACACCGCCCGUCACACCAUGGGAGUCGUUUGCUCCCAGAAGUGGCUAUGCCCAACCCCGCAAGGGAGGUAGGUCCCCAAGGAGUGAACGGUAACUGGGGUG